rnacentral:rRNA from 1 species
AGCUCCAAUAGCGUAUAUUAAAGUUGUUGCAGUUAAAAAGCUCGUAGUUGGAUUUCUGGUAGGAGUGACCGACCCGACCGAAUGGUUGCGUGUUUGUGUUGUCUCCGGCCAUCGUUUGUAGAGAGUGCGUUGGGUAUUUAUUUAUCUGGCGUAGGACCUACAUCCUUCACUGUGAAAAAAUUAGAGUGUUUAAAGCAAGCAAUCGCUGUGAAUACAUUAGCAUGGAAUGAUAAGAUAGGACUUUGGUGCUAUUUUGUUGGUUUACACACCAAGGUAAUGAUUAACAGGGACAGUUGGGGGUAUUCGUAUUUAAUUGUCAGAGGUGAAAUUCUUGGAUUUAUGAAAGACGAACUACUGCGAAAGCAUUUACCAAGGAUGUUUUCAUUAAUCAAGAACGAAA